GGGUCGUAAACCUCUUUUCUCAGGGAAGAGCAAGGACGGUACCUGAGGAAUAAGDGASGGCWAAYUACGUGCCAGCAGCCGCGGUAAUACGUAGGUCRCGAACGUUGUCSGGAAUUAUUGGGCGUAAAGGGUCCGUAGGCGGUUCGGUAAGUCUCUUGUGAAAUCUUCAGGCUCAACYUGRAGAGGUCGGGGGAUACUGCUGAACUAGAGACUGUCAGAGGCAAGUGGAAUUCCCGGUGUAGUGGUGAAAUGCGUAGAUAUCGGGAGGAACACCAGUGGCGAARGCGGCUUSCUGGGMCAGUUCUGACGCUGAGGGACGAAAGCGUGGGUAGCUACMCGGAUURAUACCCGGGUAGUCCACGCCGUAAACSAUGACCGCUCCAUUUUCGGGGUAUCGACCCCCYUGAGCCGUAGCUAACGC
rnacentral:rRNA from 1 species